GAUGAACGCUAGCUACAGGCUUAACACAUGCAAGUCGCAGGGUAACAUGAGGAAAGCUUGCUUUCCUUGAUGACGACUGGCGCACGGGUGAGUAACGCGUAUCCAACCUUCCCAUAACUACGGGAUAACCCGUUGAAAGACGGCCUAAUACCGUAUGAUAUCGUUUGCUGACAUCAAAUAACGAUUAAAGGUUUAGCGGUUAUGGAUGGGGAUGCGUCUGAUUAGCUUGUUGGCGGGGUAACGGCCCACCAAGGCAACGAUCAGUAGGGGUUCUGAGAGGAAGGUCCCCCACAUUGGAACUGAGACACGGUCCAAACUCCUACGGGAGGCAGCAGUGAGGAAUAUUGGUCAAUGGACGAGAGUCUGAACCAGCCAAGUAGCGUGCAGGAUGACGGCCCUAUGGGUUGUAAACUGCUUUUGUUUGGGAAUAAUCGACAUUACGUGUAAUGUUUUGCAUGUACCAUUCGAAUAAGGACCGGCUAAUUCCGU
rnacentral:rRNA from 1 species